rnacentral:rRNA from 1 species
AGCGAACGCUGGCGGCGUGCUUAACACAUGCAAGUCGAACGAGAAGUACUGUGGCAAUACAGUAUUGUAAAGUGGCGCACGGGUGAGUAACACGUGGGUAAUCUGCCCUCGAGUUUGGGAUAACCCCGCGAAAGCGGGGCUAAUACCGAAUAAGACCACAGGGACCAAAGUCCCAGGGGUAAAAGGUGGCCUCUAUUUAUAAGCUACCACGUGAGGAUGAGCCCGCGGCCCAUUAGCUAGUUGGCGGGGUAAUGGCCCACCAAGGCUAUGAUGGGUAGCUGGUCUGAGAGGACGAUCAGCCACACUGGAACUGAGACACGGUCCAGACUCCUACGGGAGGCAGCAGUGGGGAAUAUUGCACAAUGGGCGCAAGCCUGAUGCAGCAACGCCGCGUGCGGGAUGACGGCCUUCGGGUUGUAAACCGCUUUUAGUAAGGAGGAAGGGGAGCUUGCUCCUUGACGGUACUUGCAGAAAAAGGACCGGCUAACUACGUGCCAGCAGCCGCGGUAAGAC